rnacentral:lncRNA from 1 species
UUAUGAGACGAGCCCCCAUCCCAUGGUGCUUUCUCAUUUCAGAGGCACCAGCCGUCCCGGCCAGACAAGAUCCGCGCAGAGGCCAGGCUGGAGCACGUCCUCACGGCCUCCUGCGCCACGCAGAGCUUCCGGGGAGACGUGGAGACUGACUACACUCGCUGGCUGCGCCAUUCCCUGCAGCUGGGGCUCUGCCGCCUCCCCAGGGCCCUCUUGGUCUCUGGGGAGCACACCCUGGGUGGCGGUAGGCUCCUGCUACACUCCAAAUGCCAGCUGGGCCUUGCCCCAGACCCAGACCACAGCCUGCACCUCAGCCUGACCCUCCGCAACCACAGCAGGCCCCGAAUGCCUGACUUCUCUGGGGAAUUAGAGCUCCGUGGCCCCAAGGCUCAGAGGCUUGGUCUGCUGGGCCGGGUGUCCACCUCGGCUUCCCAAAGGUUGAUCCAGCUGGAGGGAAAUGUGGACAAUGGGGACGAGAAAGUGAGGCUGUCGGUGUCCCAGGCCCCGAACUGCCUCCAGGCCUCAGUGGCCCAAGAGCAAGGGAGCCAAGAGGAGAGCGUGGUGCUGCGGGCCUGUGCCCACCGGUGGACGGCUGAGGUAGAGGCCCUGCUCCAGGACAGUGGGCGGCCUGUCCAGCCCCUGGGGCGCUUGACCCUGCAGGCUGCCAACCAGAGCCUCCGCUUGGCCGCACUCGGCUGCCAGGGGACCCUGCUGGGCCACAUGGAGUCCCGGAUUGCUGCUCUCGGGUCCCAGGUGCAAGCUCGGCUGGAGGAGAAGAUCCGCAACUUGGACGCCUACGUGAGAAGGUUCCAGCGCCUGAUGCAGCCGACAGGCACCCUGGACAGUGCAGCAGGCCCCCUUCCGUGGCUGUCCCGGGAGGGCCUGGGGGCCGUGUGGGGGAGUGGCCGGGCGGUGGCCACACUGUGGGGCCAGAGCCAGGCCAGGCAGACGCUGAUACAACGUGUGCCGCUCUACCUGGAGAGGCUGCAGGAGGGGCUGGAGCAGCUGCGGAAUGAGCUGGAACGGCCCCUGGCCACGCUGAAGGACGCUUACUUGGAGGUGACACUGCGGCCCUUGGACGAGGUGUGGCGGGAGCGGGCCGAGGAGGCCAUGCAGUGGCUGCAGGCCUGGGUGUCCCGGAUGCCGGGGCCCUGGGUGUCCAGGCCCAUCGGGGCAGCACUAGAGUCCGUGAGGGGCGCCCUGGAGCUGGCCGCUGAGCAGAUGCUGUCUUGGAUGGAAGCUGUGAUCUCACAGGCACUGAGGAGGCUCUGCAAACCCUUGCUGGACCUGUACCGCUUCUCGGCCAGGGACCGCUCAGUGGUGGUGACGCUGCCGCUGCUGCCUGUGGGAGACGAGCCCCUGGAUGUGGCCCGCGUGACCAGCCACCUGGUGGAGGAGAAGCUGCUGCGGCCGCUCCGAGAGCUGUACAGGACCAGCAUGCUGGCUGGGUACCACCGGCUCAGACGCCACCUGCAGGGGAGCCCCUCUGGAUACCAUGCUGUGGUGGCUGGGGCCAGGCACGUGGUGACCUUUGACGGCCGGGUGUGGGGUCUCAGCACCCACUGUGGCAGCCUGCUGCUGGCCAGGGACUUCGCUCACGACACGUUCUCACUGACGCUGAGCCGGGCAGGCUCAGGGCUCACGUCCCUGACUGUAGCGCUGAACCGCAGCACCCUGGUCUUCUACCCCAGCCUGAAGACCUACAGGCUGUACAACAACUCCCUGCCUGGGGAGAGCUGUCUGGACCUGGUUUUGCCUCCGCCUCCUGCCAAGACCAGGAUCGAGCUGACCAGUGAGGACGGCGUCUCCAUCGCCUGUGACGUCCAAGCCGGCCUCUGCAGCCUGACUCUGGGCGUCUGGCAGCACGGCCUGUCCGCCGGCUUCCUGGGCACCAAUGACAAUGAGGCAGACAAUGAGCUGAUGCUGCCAGACGGCUCGGUGGCCAACAGCCUGGAGGAGUUCACGCUUGCCUGGCAGGUGGACCCCACACCCUUCCUCAACCUGUGCCUCCAGGACACCUGUGGCACCCAAGAGCUCCAAACUGCCUGCACCCUGGCGGCCACCUACAUUCACCUGUGUGCCCGGGGAUUCGUGCCCAUGGACCCUCCUCCACAGUGUGUUUGAGAUUUUGCCUGAGCCAGCACCAGGCUGCCAAGGAUUUCAGACUCACCUACCACAAACCCGUUCCAUCACCAAGGUCACAGUUCUUGUCUGGGGCAGAAUGACCAGCAUAAAAAAACAGGAAGCUCAGAGAAGAUCAGGAAAAAUACAGAUCCAGGAAAGAAGAGCCAUUAGUCAAUGAUUUCAAAAUGCUUUCUGGGAGCAGUAAAGCCCACACUGGUCUGGAUAAUUCUCCACCUUCCUCAGCACCUGCACUGUGGUCUAGGAGACAGCCCAACCCGCAGGACCCACCUCUGGAGGGAGAGAGCCAUGCCAGCAACUCUUCCUGUCCAAGAUGUUUAUUCACUCAUUCAGCUGCUGUCUCCAAAGCCUUUGCUGUAUGAGCCAGACUGCCCCAGGGUCUUUCUAGACCAGGACUGGCUUCCCCUGCCCUCUGCACAGGUCUCCCCUAAGGCCUGAGGCUCCUUGAGGGAAUUGAUGGUCCCAAAUCCCUUAAUCCCAAGGCUGGUUGGGUGCUUCCCUCUUUGGGUUAGAUCCUGACUCUCGGUCUCAUUGUUUCAGGGGGCACUUGAGAAGGGCCAGUGGAUGCUAUGGGCACCUGGGCACUCAGACCCCAAGUAUGCAGCCUUCAAAGCUGUUCACUUNNNNNNNNNNNNNNNGGGGAGGCUUUACCCUUGAGUUUUCAACUGAAAAAUAAAGCUGGCAGAAUCCAAGAAGGCAUCCAUUAGAUUGCUGGGGUCAGCCAUCCACUGGCGAGAUGCGGGGUGGGCCUUGAGUGGCUGUGAAACCUCCUGCCAGUAGGGGGCCCCCAGAGCCCUCUCGAAACUGAGUUCUAGUGUCCAGAUUCCAGAGUGACAGGUGAAGAAGUGUCAGCCUCGAGGAGUGGGGUGACCAGAAGGCCAGACGCGAGGCUCGGCUGUCCCUGGCCUCCCUGACCCACAGCAGGUGCUCAGUGAAGAUGAGAAGAAGGAACUCUAGAGACUCUUAGCGUUUUCCGGAGUGAAUGGGAAUGGGGAAGCCAGAACUGCCCGUUCCCAUACUCCGGAAGGAAGAGAGGGGGAAGGGGUGCCAUGACUGAGCUUGCACCGUGUUGCCAUGGCUACAACCAAAAGACCCCAGAGUCCAAGCACUGCUCUUUGAAAGAUGUUUGCUCUCUUCUCAGACCUUAUUAAUAACCUGAUGAGGGGUGGAUGAUCCCGUGUAAUGGAAGAAGCAGCAGGCUCAGGGAGCCCAGGGGGCUUACCCAAGGUCACACAGCUAGCAGACGGCCAGGCUGGCAUGAUCUGGGCCUGUCUGCCCCCAAGGCUGCCCAGCCUCCACCUUCCCUCUUCUGCUUUCACAUUAGCCUUGUGCCGCACACAGGUGCACCUCAUUUUACAGCACUUUGCAGAUACAGCGGGUUUUUUAACAGAUCAAAGGCAUGUGGCAACCCUGCAUCAAGGAACUCCAUCAGUACCUUUUCUAAGAGCACUGCUUGCUUCAUGUCUCUGUGUCACAUUUUGGUAAUUCUCAAAAUAUUUCAGACUUUUUCACUGUUAUUAUAUGUAUUAUGGUGACCUGUGAGCUUUGAUGUUACUAUGACAGCUAGUUAGCAUUUUUUAGCAAUAAAGUACUUAAUUGAGGGAUGCACAUUGUUUGUUUAGACACAAUGCUAUUGCACACUUAAUAGACUACUGUAUAGUAUAAACGUAGCUUUUAUACGUAGUAGGAAGCCAAAAACUUUGUGUGACUCUCUUGCGG